rnacentral:lncRNA from 14 species
GUAUUUUUUUCUCUGCCCCAAGGAAUUGUUAGCUCUGUGCAAGAGGGUAAAAGAUGCGUUAUUUCCUACAAUAAGUCCUGACCUUCCAUGAUAUUCCACGGCCUUCCAUUACAUUCCAUGAUCCUAAGCAGGAACGGGAUGUGGGCGGCUGGCAUAGAGACUUCAGCAGACCUCAGCACAGAGAGUGCAGAGAAGAAC